rnacentral:piRNA from 1 species
UGGAAUAAGACUUUGCUAGCUAGGACCAA